rnacentral:rRNA from 1 species
GACGAACCGUCCAAACGUUAUUCGGACUCACGGGGCUUAAAGGGUGCGUAGGCUGUCCGGUAAGUUGGGUGUGAAAGCCCUCGGCUCAACCGAGGAAUUGCGCCCAAAACUGCCGGGCUCGAGGGAGAUAGAGGUGAGCGGAACUAAGGGUGGAGCGGUGAAAUGCAUUGAUAUCCUUAGGAACACCAGUAGCGAAAGCGGCUCACUGGGUCUCUUCUGACGCUGAGGCACGAAAGCUAGGGGAGCGAACGGG